rnacentral:lncRNA from 1 species
GUUAUACCUGAGGUGAAGCUAAGUAUCUGGUUUAUACUUUUAUAUCUCUAAAGGAGAAAAAAAGAAAAGAAAAAAAGGACCUGUUCAAAAUAGUGGAACAAGCUAGGCAGGGUGAUGUGUGCCUGUGUGGUCCCAGUUACUUGGGAGACUGAGGUGGGAGGAUGUUUGAGCCCAGGAGUCGAAGCUGUAGUGAGCUAUGAUGGCAUCACUGCACUCUAUCCUGGGUGACAGAGCAAGCACCCCUGUCUAAAAAAGUAAAAAAGAAAAAAAGAGAAAGAAAGAAUAUAGAAGCAACAAGUGUAGAUUUACAUUCUAUUAGACAGUGACCCAUUAGACCCGGACAAGGGCAUUAAACCAAAUACUGUGGCUCAAGCUUAGCCCACAAGGAGCCCAGAAUGGAAGGAACACAUCAUAGCUCUCUUAGGUUAAUGACUGGCAUCCCAAACAGAUUUCUUUUUAGCAAGAAAGAUAGCCAGAGUGCUUGGAGAUUGGGAGCAUGAAUUUUCUUUCAAGGACAAAGGAUGGAGACCAUUGGAAGAAAUGAUUUUUAAGCCCAGUGCUCUGUUCUCCAGGAUGGCUGCUGAUGAGGUGACUAAGUUUACCCAUUCGAGUCAUCUGUCCUGAUGAAAUGUACACCUUAUCCAAGGUCAUGUUGAUGUUAGAGCCUUUGUUGACUUUUUCUUGUCUCUGUGUUCCAGUUUCACCUAUUAAGAGCAAAUAAAAAGAAAGGGUCUGAACUAAGAUUUUAACAUGAUAGUAUAGCUAAGCAAGAAUACCUUUUUCUUGCUCUAGUGAUUGGGAGUUGAUAAAAACAUUAAAAAAUAGUAAACUAAGUAUUAUUACAAAAGAGUCAAAAGUUAAAACAAUUAAGUUUAUAAAAUAAAAAUGUUACAGUAAGCUAAGGUUAAUUGAUUAUUCAUGAAAGAAAAAAUUUUUAAUAUAGAUUUAGUAUAACC